rnacentral:rRNA from 1 species
UGCAGUCGAACGAUGAACCCGCUUCGGUGGGGGAUUAGUGGCGAACGGGUGAGUAACACGUGGGCAAUCUGCCCUGCACUCUGGGACAAGCCCUGGAAACGGGGUCUAAUACCGGAUACCACUCUGGAGCGCAUGCUCUGGGGUUGAAAGCUCCGGCGGUGCAGGAUGAGCCCGCGGCCUAUCAGCUUGUUGGUGGGGUAAUGGCCUACCAAGGCGACGACGGGUAGCCGGCCUGAGAGGGCGACCGGCCACACUGGGACUGAGACACGGCCCAGACUCCUACGGGAGGCAGCAGUGGGGAAUAUUGCACAAUGGGCGAAAGCCUGAUGCAGCGACGCCGCGUGAGGGAUGACGGCCUUCGGGUUGUAAACCUCUUUCAGCAGGGAAGAAGCGCAAGUGACGGUACCUGCAGAAGAAGCGCCGGCUAACUACGUGCCAGCAGCCGCGGUAAUACGUAGGGCGCGAGCGUUGUCCGGAAUUAUUGGGCGUAAAGAGCUCGUAGGCGGCUUGUCACGUCGGAUGUGAAAGCCCGGGGCUUAACCCCGGGUCUGCAUUCGAUACGGGCAGGCUAGAGUGUGGUAGGGGAGAUCGGAAUUCCUGGUGUAGCGGUGAAAUGCGCAGAUAUCAGGAGGAACACCGGUGGCGAAGGCGGAUCUCUGGGCCAUUACUGACGCUGAGGAGCGAAAGCGUGGGGAGCGAACAGGAUUAGAUACCCUGG